AGAUUUACUCUAGAUUAUAACUUUCAUAUUAGAAAGAUAAUUGCAGUAACUCUUCACUUGUAUUUACAUACCUAUUAAGAAGUUCCCUGAGUUCAACACUGUACACGUUGUCAUCUUCAAGAAAAUAAAAUCCACGAAUUCUACCAACUGGAGCACUUUCAUGAUCAGAAGGUCCUCCCAACCAAUUUUCCACAGCCUCUUGGAAGCCACCAUCUUCUUGCCACACUUCAUGAGAUUCUUGCAGACGAGAGUUUUCUCCAUC
rnacentral:lncRNA from 1 species